AUUGAACGCUGGCGGCAGGCUUAACACAUGCAAGUCGGGCGGAGAUGAGGUGCUUGCACCUUAUCUUAGCGGCGGACGGGUGAGUAAUGCUUAGGAAUCUGCCUAUUAGUGGGGGACAACAUUCCGAAAGGAAUGCUAAUACCGCAUACGUCCUACGGGAGAAAGCAGGGGAUCUUCGGACCUUGCGCUAAUAGAUGAGCCUAAGUCGGAUUAGCUAGUUGGUGGGGUAAAGGCCUACCAAGGCGACGAUCUGCAGCGGGUCUGAGAGGAUGAUCCGCCACACUUGGACUGAGACACGGCCCAGACUCCUACGGGAGGCAGCAGUGGGGAAUAUUGGACAAUGGGGGGAACCCUGAUCUAGCCAUGCCGCGUGUGUGAAGAAGGCCUUAUGGUUGUAAAGCACUUUAAGCGAGGAGGAGGCUACUGAGACUAAUACUCUUGGAUAGUGGACGUUACUCGCAGAAUAAGCACCGGCUAACUCUGUGCCAGCCGCCGCCGUAA
rnacentral:rRNA from 1 species